CACGUAGGGUGCGAGCGUUGUCCGGAAUUAUUGGGCGUAAAGAGCUCGUAGGCGGUGUGUCGCGUCGGGAGUGAAAACCUUGGGCUUAACUCAGGGCUUGCUUUCGAUACGGGCAGACUAGAGGUAUGCAGGGGAGAACGGAAUUCCUGGUGUAGCGGUGAAAUGCGCAGAUAUCAGGAGGAACACCGGUGGCGAAGGCGGUUCUCUGGGCAUGAUCUGACGCUGAGGAGCGAAAGUGUGGGGAGCGAACAGG
rnacentral:rRNA from 1 species